rnacentral:lncRNA from 1 species
CCGGUUCUCCCUCCUCUCCGUCCCUGGCUGGGACAUGUGGAUCUCACCCGCAGCCACUUUCUUCUGGCCUCUGUCCCCCUGCCUGGGACACGUGGACCUCACCCCCAGUCUCCUUCUCUCCUCUGCCCCCCGCAGGCGCGGCCAGGUCACAGUCGGCACCAGAAGUUUGGCAGAUCUCAGUGAGGCGUUAGUUUGCAUUUCCUUGUGACGGGUUUUGACUGGAAUGCCAGGCUUAACGUUGCUCAGAAGUUGCUUCUAUGAGGACGUCUCCCAGCAGCUGUCAGUGUUUCCAAUGAGUCAUCGCCAGCCCCUGCAAUGAGCCUCUCAGGCUGUCACUGUCCCUAAAAUGAAGCCGGGCUGCCAGAGGCGGUUGCAUCUCCCGGCACCAAGACCCCAGAGUCCCUGUGAGAAAGAGGACCAACGACGAUGGAAGCCUUUCUCUAAUGUGCGCACAGCCAGGCCGCUCCUCUGAAGGCGCUGAGCCGCCUCUAAUCACAGCGCCACACUGGCCACAGGUCGCUGGGUAUAGGAUGAACCCAGCUGUGAAUAGGAUGCAUUUCCUGGGAGGUUUCUGUGAAGUUACUGAACUGCCAAAAGCUGAGGUGCCUGUCAGCAGUCAAGUGAUUGAGAGCACAAACUGUCCCAAAGACACAGCCCCCUUCCCCCUGGAGACGCGCACAGCCUGCAGAAGAGAUGUCACCUGAUGCAGCGUUGUGGUUUAAAAACUCAUUAUGGGAAGCAUGAGGCUGGACCCAGGGGACCCUGGAGGUGAUGCAGGGGCUUUGGCAGCCUGGAAGCUGUUGGAGGAGGGGCCCUUGGUGGAAGUGGGGACAGUUUGAGCCUCCGGCCUCCAAUUCCCUCCCGCUGGCUUCUGGGCCGCACCUCCAGGAAUCCAGCUAGACCCGCAGGGCUCUGACUCCAGACUUUAUUAAAUGUUUCCUCUAACGGUUCUGGCCAUUCUGCUGGGCCAUUAAAGGCUACCCCAGGGCCUCAGAUAUGAGCGUGGUGUCUGUAUGUGGUCCUUUCAUGGAGGGCAGGAAGCAUCAUAAUUACUUUUUUUUUUAACGGUUUUCAAUUUGUGUUGACAAAGAGCCUUAGUGAAUCUGUUGGAAGAAGAGUGACUUCAAAAUGAACCUGACUCCCUGUAUGUUAGGAGUCCAUAUUCUCU